UCCGAGUUCUGUGGCUGCCAUGCAGAGAGCAGCUCAGCCACGCUUUGCAGUAAGGACUUAAAAAAAGAUUCUAAAGCCCAACAGAGACUUAGGGAAAGCUAGGGAUAUAACCAGCAACAAGCCUCUAGUUACUGCCAUAAUCAGUGCAACUGCACUGGUGCGAAAUAGCUGGCUGAGAUAUCAGAUCUGGUAGCCCAGGACUGACUGCAAUAUCAAAACCUUUUGCUAUGGGAAGCAGGGAAACAUAGAGAUAGGAAUGGGCAUGGGUGGUUCCCCAGCCUUGCUUGGCUGCCCUGCUGCCCUUCUCCCCAUGCCACCCAAGUGAGCUCAUCCAUGCCAUGGCCCACACAUCUGCCCAAACUCUUUUACACCACAGCUACUGAGCAUUACAAUAACUGCUGCUAGGAAAGAGCUUACAUAAUGCUCGCCAACAAUGUAAUUUUGAUCAUCUGUGGACUCACGAAAAAUUUCUACGCUGGCUUACACAGGUUGCGGUUUUACUUGCAGCUCUGUAAGCUUUGGAUUAUUAUUUUGAAAGGAAGGUGACUGCAUAUAAAGCCAGCUCUGCAAAGCACUGGGAACAGGACAGGCUCUCAUUUCAGGAGGAGUAUGGCUAAAAUGUAGCUGACACAGGAAGGAUCUGGGAAGCCAUCACACAUGCAAAGACUUUUCUUCCACUUUCCUGUUUUAAAGAGAAGAACAUGUUAAGGGGAAGUGUGUCCAUUCGCAGCCCACAGCUUUACCCCAGCUUGCAGCAGCUCUUCACAGCAAAAAACAGGAGAGGUUUCUUAGUAUUCCUGCAAGAAAACAUCAUGAAUAGGAAGACUCUUUCCCCACAUAAUGUAGCAUUCUGAGAGUUGGAUGUGGAAAAGCUGGCAUGGGGAAUAUGGAUAUUGCAAGGCUGUUUCUCCUCACCAGUAUGGGACAAGGAAGGGAGAAGCACUUAUAAAUGGACAUUAUGAAUGGACCUGAACUUUCUUUGGUCUGAGUCAGAAGAACAUACAUGUGUGUGUCUGUAUGUGUAUAUAUAUAUUUAUAUAUAUAAAAGCCAGUAUGUGUUGGCUGUUUAGCAAGUUUACAUUCCAUUUUCUCUUGUCAUGCUGACACAAAUUAUUUGCUCUUGUGUCUGGACUGCUGUUUGCAAAGGGUGCAGUGACUACUCUUAGCUGUUCUCAUUUGAUUAACUGUCUAAAAUCCAGUUCUUUGGAGGCAGGUGGCAAGUUCCUUAUCAGGUGGCCCAGAGCCUUUAAAUUACAGAAAUUUGCUUUUUCUGUGCAUGGUUGGGAUCCACCAGUCUCCAUUUCAUAGCACACUACCAAGCCCACAGGUGGGGGUCCAUGAGGGCCCCAUCCCAAACCGUGGGGGCUCCCCAUCCACUCAGGCCAGCGCUUGGCAGGGGCUCGGAGAGCAGCUCAGCUCACUGACCCACUGCCAGGGCUCGGCCCUGAGGAACAGCAGCUCUGCUGCCCCUCAGCAUCUUAAUGCAAAGGGACGUGAGCGGCCACACGAUGACAUCGGAUGAUGCGAAAUUCAUUUGCACAGCAGCAACACCCAGGCACUUCGGCCACAGUCCCACUCCUCACCGCCGAGCUCAGAGAGGGGCCUCUGGUCCCCACGGUGCCACCCUCCUGCACCGGAUCCCGGGUUACAGCCCUCAGCUGCCUCUAGAAAGAAAAGAUUUCCCUCCAUGUGAUGCUGCGUGCGUGUCAGCCCGCGGCGCGAUGAUUGAUGACACAGCUGCUUCUGCAACCUCUGUCGGAGAGCUCUAAUUUAAUUAAUGGCUUUCGGCAUGUGUGCAACAUAACUCCUGCAGCACCUCCGUGCCCCGGGGGAGCGCGGGCACGGCGGGGCGGCUGCUCCUGGCACCGGCAGGGAAAUGGGAGGGUGGCAAGACAGAUGUGCAUACACGAGGGCCAGAUGCGAUCGGCCACCUCGCGGGUUUGCAUUAACCUUCACGUAGGCAGCGGCACGUGGAGCCUGCGCUCCGUGAGCCUCCCUCAGCAGGGCAGCAGCAGCAGCCGCCAAAGCUGCCAGGCAUCUGCCGCCUGCCUGCCAUGUCCUCGGGAAAGCCGCGAGGAGGAGGUGAGAACCACCCCACCUGAUGCCUGCUCAGCUUUCUGCCUGCGAUGCACAAGUGGAAACACCUGGACCCAGAAGCAGGGGAGGGGGUAGCAGGUGGGAAAGAGUCAUUUGUUUUCCCCUUGAUUGGCAGCAAUGGGAUAUCUCAAAGGGUUAAUGGUGUCUGCUCAAUCCAGAUGUACAAAAGGGGGGGAAAAAAAGUUAUGCUAAGCUUUCCUGAAGUCUGGAGAAUUCAGAAGAAUGUGUCAAGAGUAUUUCCCAGUUGCAAAAUACUGCAGGAUCUUUUAUCUUCUACCACUGUGCCCUUCAUCCUUGUCAGGAGUAGGGGGUGUGGGGCCAGACCACAGAACAAGAAACUAGAUUAGAGGAAAGCUGGCUAACAUGACACUCGCUGGCCCCCCCAAAACUCCAUCCCGGUUUAAAGUUUGAACCUGUACCCAGACUUCCCACACCUCAUUCAGUCUUACCUAAAGAGAAAGAUUGUUGCCAAGAUAUCAACUAAAUUAGAACCAGUUUUCAUGAAUAGCUGCCUUGGGAGAAGGAAUUGCGGGAGUCUCCUGCAGGUCCCAGCUUAGUGGGCUUUCCCCUGUCUCUCCACCUCUAAGCCCAGUCACUGUUGACCUUUAAGCCCCACCACUGAUGAAGGCUUAAGUGUAACCUUCAAGCCUGGUACCAUCUACACUCCUUGACAUAAUAAAGCUCAGCCUUCAAGAGAGAAGCUUCUGUCUUCCAGACCAGCAGUUCUCAGUUCAAGAAAGAGCCAAUGACAGAGACACUAACAGGUUUUUCAUUUGCUAUUGAAAAGAACAAAGAACAAGGGCAAAGGAAAAACCUCAGAGAACUUCCAUCAGCUCCCCAAAUGGUCCCCAGCUGAAUGGGUUUGGGAAGAAGGAUAAACAUUUUAUUUUCUUCAGCAAGCCCUGCAGCAUUUGUCCAUCAUUUUCUUUGAGAUGAGCCAGUCUCAUUUAACUCCAGAAUUUACUGGUAAAAAAUAUUCCUCUAUCUUGUUUUCCUGGAAUAUUUCAGCCUGGCUCUGCAGUCAGGCAUUUCUGAAGAAUUUCAGGCAUUGCUUCAGUUCAGCAGAAUCUUCAACUUUGGACGAGGUUUUAAAAAUAGUUAGCUUCUACCUUUUUAUUCUUUUUUUGGGGGCUUUUUUUUCCCUUUCCUUGCUGUUUCCUUUUCAUUACCAAGGUACAGCUGGAAAGAGGGAGAGAGACAGAGAUUCUCCUUUGUUUUGAACUUUCAGUUGGACCAAAGACUUAAGCUUCAGAAAAGUGAUGCUGCUCUCCCAAAGGCCAUCCUUUGCUUCUGUUAUGCCUCGUUGCCUCGCCUCCCUACAUGAGAGAAAACCCCCAACAAUAUCGUCUCCCUCGAGCUCUAAGAAAACAGGGGAUGAAAUCCCAGCUUCUCUUCAUGUGUAGCACACUCACACUGGCAAAGAGCUGGGCUGAAGGGCUCAGGGGGAAGGAUAUGCAAUAGGAAGAAGAAAGCACCUGUGAAUUUCCUUUAUUAAAAGAUGAGAGGAUUUAAAAUCCAAAAUUCUGCUGAGAGACAUCAACCCACUGGGAAUGCCUGGAACAGGUAUCUGGAAAGGAGCUCCACAGACAUUUCCACAAGAAGCAAAUUCUCCCAAUGGGUUUCUGCCUUAACCCCACCAACGUCUGAUAUUGUGUCACUGAUCCUGAGAUAAAAAACCUAAA